GCUUAAGACACCAUGGUUAUGUGCAUAAAAUAGCUUUAUUUUCAACAAAUCAGAAUCUGCAUGCAAAAAUCAAUGAUUCAUUGACUUCAACAUUAGAUCAGCGAUUUCAUCUGGAUGUGACCAAACAAAGCAGCAGAAUUUUCUCUUUUUAAUCAUUUUACACCAUGCUAGUAAUGCACAGCUCAAUCACGUUCCCCUUAACUAAUCCAGAACAUCCUUCUACAAAACAUAAAUAGAUUCGGCUUAAGCAGUCUAAAAGAAAUAGAAACUCUUAUUAAAAAAAAAAAAUCUUGUCAAAAGACUAACAGCCUUUGAAUUUUUUGCACUACGGUAUAUAAAACAAAUCUAAAAACCAAAAAAAAAUAAAAAAUACAAUAAAAUUAUCACAUGUACAAUAGCUGAGAAGGGGGAGCAACACCCCCGACCUGAAGGCAGGCAAUAAAAUAUGACAGUUAAAUUAAUACCAAAAAA